rnacentral:sRNA from 1 species
CCGGUUACAGCACAAAGUUUUCAGCCAAGCUUAAUAUCCUUGAAACUUGAAAGACACAAAAUGGUGUUCAGUCAGGCCUCCCGUGCACUUGUAAGACAAUUUACUACAUCUGCUGCAAGGCGGAGUCAGGGAUGGCAACAGGAGGGCAUUCCUGGAUCAAAUCUCCCUUUUGGCAUCCAAAACAAAGCAAAACUGACAGUGUACUUUAUUCUGUUCUUUGGAAGUGGUUUGACAGCACCAUUCAUUCUAAUGAGACGUCACUUAUUAUUACAGUCUUCAAAAUAGAUUGACAUAAAAAAUGAAGUCUGGGAGCUUGUGAUAGUAUUGUGUGAACUAUACAGAUCUUGAAAACCCAUGUAUGAGAAUGACUUAACAGAACAGAACUCAAUUUAUUUCUUAUUUAUACUUUUGUUGAUUUGAAGAUAUUAUAUUCUGACCUUGCUUUGAUAGAUCUUGGUAUACAAGCAAAUAAUAAGUUAAAUAUUAGUUUUGGUUUAUUGUAUUAUUUUGAAUAUUUUACAUCUGCUCCACUAUUUAGUGUAAUGAGAUGAAUCAUUGUAAUGUAUUAAGAUAUUUUUUUCACUCAUUUUAUUGUAAACAGCUGGACAACUUUACAAUGGGAUUAAGCCUACAAAUAAAAUGUAUUUUCUAGAGAAAAAAAA